ACGGAGGGUGCAAGCGUUAAUCGGAAUUACUGGGCGUAAAGCGCGCGUAGGCGGAUUGUUAAGUCUCAUGUGAAAGCCCUGGGCUCAACCUGGGAACUGCAUGGGAUACUGACAGUCUAGAAUACAGUAGAGGGUAGUGGAAUUUCAGGUGUAGCGGUGAAAUGCGUAGAGAUCUGAAGGAACAUCAGUGGCGAAGGCGACUACCUGGACUGAUAUUGACGCUGAGGUGCGAAAGCGUGGGGAGCAAACAGG
rnacentral:rRNA from 1 species